rnacentral:rRNA from 1 species
CUACGGGUUGCUCCAGUGGGGAAUAUUGCACAAUGGGCGCAAGCCUGAUGCAGCCAUGCCGCGUGUAUGAAGAAGGCCUUCGGGUUGUAAAGUACUUUCAGCGGGGAGGAAGGGAGUAAAGUUAAUACCUUUGCUCAUUGACGUUACCCGCAGAAGAAGCACCGGCUAACUCCGUGCCAGCAGCCGCGGUAAUACGGAGGGUGCAAGCGUUAAUCGGAAUUACUGGGCGUAAAGCGCACGCAGGCGGUUUGUUAAGUCAGAUGUGAAGUCCCCGGGCUCAACCUGGGAACUGCAUCUGAUACUGGCAAGCUUGAGUCUCGUAGAGGGGGGUAGAAUGCCAGGUGUAGCGGUGAAAUGCGUAGAGAUCUGGAGGAAUACCGGUGGCGAAGGCGGCCCCCUGGACGAAGACUGACGCUCAGGUGCGAAAGCGUGGGGAGCAAACAGGAUUAGAUACCCCUGUAGUC